GACGAACGCUGGCGGCGUGCUUAACACAUGCAAGUCGAACGGUGAAGCGCCUUCCUUUUUGGUGGGUGUGGAUGAGUGGCGAACUGGUGAGUAACACGGGAGUAACCUGCCCCCUUCUUCUGGAUAACCGCAUGAAAGUGUGGCUACUACGGGAUAUUCUGGGUCUGUCGCAUGAUGGGUCUGGGAAAGAUAUUGUUUCGGCGGGGGUUGGGCCCGCGGCGUAUCAGCUUGUUGGUGGGGUGAUGGCCUACCAAGGCGGUGCUGGAUAGCCGGCGUGAGAGGGGGAUAGGCCACAUUGGGACGGAGAAACGGCCCAAACGGCUACGGGAGGCAGCAGUAGGGAAUCUUCGGCAAUGGACGAAAGUCUGAACGAGCAACGCCGCGGGAGUGAAGAAGGUGUUCGGAUCGUAAAACUAUGUUGGUAGAGAAGAACGUUGGUGAGAGUGGAAAGAUCAUCAAGUGACGGUAACUAACCAGAAAGGGAGGGCUAACUACGUG
rnacentral:rRNA from 1 species